rnacentral:lncRNA from 1 species
UGCCUGUUGAGGGACAGGAUGGUGAUAAUAUGAUUGGAUUGGAAUGAAGGUGCCGGUGGCUGGGUUGUGGAUGAAAUGCUGAUUUCCAGCAGUAACAAUCUGCUGUGGAGCUGGCUGUUGCGGUUGUUGUGGUGGCUGCGGCGGUGGCUGUUGCUGCUGUGGCGGAGGCGGCGCAUGCAUCUGGGCAAAGACAUAUCCAGGUGGGGGCUGUGUCACUGCGGCAGCCGCAGCGGCAGCAGCAGCAUCAGGAGCCGAUACUGGGAGGCGGUAGCUGGCAG